CAAUAGCGUAUAUUGAAGUUGUUGCGGUUAAAAAGCUCGUCGUUGGAUUUCUGUUGAGGUCGAACAGUGCCGCCCUAUGGGUGCGCAACUGGCUCGGCUUCGGCAUCUUCUUGGAGAGCGCAUCUGCACUUAACUGUGUGGAUCGUACUUCAAGUCAGUUACUUUGAGGAAUUGUGAGUGUUUCAAGCAGGCUUACGCCGUUGAAUCCGUUAGCAUGGAAUAAUGGAAUAGGACCUCGGUUCUAUUUUGUUGGUUUUGAGAGCUGGGGCAGCGAUUGAUAGGGACGGAUGGGGGCGUCCGAACUUUACUGUCAGAGGUGAAAUUCUUAGAUCGGUCAAAGGCGAACUACUGCGAACGCAUUCGCCAAGAAUGUUUUCUUUAA
rnacentral:rRNA from 1 species